AUGUACAUGUAAACAUUACCACGUGUAUUUGUUUAUAAAAUUACACGUGUUUGAAAGUAUAUAAUAGGUUAAAUGUUUUUCAUUGGUCGAGUUAGAACUGACCAUAAUAUUUGAAUAAGGUCAUUUCAAAUAUUUCGUGCUAUACUUUUGGCGGUUUUGUAUAUUAAAGAUAUUGUCAUUCGAGGUUCGCUUUUGGUGCAGUAAAGUUGUAAGCUUGUGCUUAACCUGAGUAUGUCUGAGAAUAGAGAAGGAAGUCCAAUGUCCGAAGAUAUUUUUCGAGUUGGUAGAUGGACACAGAAUUCAGAUAUUUCGGAUGAACUUUCUACAUUGAAAGCUAGAUUACCAGAGUACUGCUUGAGCUCACGUUCUCUGAACACUCGUAAAAAGUACCAGUAUGCCUUUAAUGCUUUCUAUUGGUUUUUGUGUUUGUUACCUGCAGCGGCCUAGGCAGACAGUAACACUGAUGAACAUUUUUUACGCUGCAUUUGUCUUUAAUAAAAUUAAAGCUUUGCUGCACACUGUCAGGCGAGCUGAUCCCAUACA